AUAUUAAAUUUCAUCCAAGAGUCAGGGUCACAGUUAAAAUCAUACUUAGGAACCUACAUAGAAGUGUGGUGCUAGAGAACAGUAGCAGCCAGUCAUGUAAGAUGUGAACAGCUUUUCCUAUGUAAGUCAAAUUCUCAAAAUAAAUUCCCCCUCUCUUUCUCCAUUUCUGGGUGUGUAGAGCCUUAAAUGGUUUAAUGAGUUUAAUUGCUUUGAAAUUCUGGAUCCAGAUAGUACCUUUGCUUAUAUAGUUGUAUGUGCUUUAAUCUCUUAAGGCAAAAAGUUAUUACUUUAUUCUUUUUCGCAGGGUCAUUUCCUUGUGCACCGUCCUCAUCCUUCAGAAGGCCGGGAGGCCCCAGGGCUCAGCCGAGUUCUAGGAGAGAACUUUGGCUCCAGCAUUAACAUUUUAGUGCUGUGUCAUUUCCCCAGUAGCAGGUUGUGAACUGAUCAGGCUGGAUGUGAUCCUCUGUUGAAGCACGAAGACGAACUCUGGAUGGUGGAGAAAGAAGUGGAAAGGAAGUUUGUUCAGGUGAGUGCAU
rnacentral:lncRNA from 1 species